AUCUACAGCCAUACUACCAUGAACGGGCCCAAUCUCGUCUGAUUUCUAAAGUUAAGCAGGGUUGGGCCUGGUUAGUACUUUGAUGGGAGAAUAUCAUUAAUUUGAAUAAGGAGGUAGUAUAUU
rnacentral:rRNA from 1 species